rnacentral:lncRNA from 1 species
GUUAAUAACAUGUAAUACUGGGGAAAGGUAAUGCUGUAUACUUCACUGUGUUAGGCAUCUCUCUACUCAACAUUAGGUUAUACCUUCAUCCCUCUAUGUUCACAGUUGAAGGGAUGAGAGAUGGAGGGAGGGGUAGAGGAGGGGUGGAGGGAGGGAUGGAGGGGGAUGGAGGGAGGGGUAGAGGAGGGGUGGAGGGAGGGAUGGAGGAGGGAUGAAGGGAGGAUGAAGGAGGGAUGAAGGAGGGAUGGAGGGAGGGGUAGAGGAGGGAUGGAGGGAGGGAUAGAGGAGGGGUGGAGGGAGGGAUGGAGGGAGGGGUAGAGGAGGGAUGGAGGGAGGGAUAGAGGGAGGGGUAGAGGAGGGAUGAAGGAGGGAUGAAGGAGGGAUGGAGGGAGGGGUAGAGGAGGGGUGGAGGGAGGGAUGGAGGAGGGAUGAAGGGAGGAUGAAGGAGGGAUGAAGGAGGGAUGGAGGGAUGGAAGGAGGGAGGGAGUAGGGAUAGAGGAGGGAUGGAUGGAGGGAGGGAAGGAGGGAGGGAUAGAGGAGGGAUGAAGGGGGAUGGAGGGAGGAGGGGGAGGACGAAGGAGGGGUGAGGAGGCGAGAGGAAGAGAAGGGAGGAAGCAUCUUCAGACUAUUGAGAUUCAGCCGGCCUGAAUUCCCUCCAUUAUUCAAACAAUUCAGUUAGCGCUCUUGACAGAUAGCAUUUAGCCAACUGUUAGCUCUAGACAGACAGUUAGCUAACCGUUAUCUCUAGACAAUUAGCUAGCUAACCGUUAGCUCUAGACAGACAGCUAGCUAACCGUUAGCUCUAGACAGACAGCUAGCUAACCGUUAGCGCUUGACAGAG